UACGUAGGGAGCAAGCGUUGUCCGGAAUCAUUGGGCGUAAAGCGCGCGUAGGUGGCUUCAUAAGUCCGUUGUGAAAGUCAAAGGCUCAACCUUUGAAAGCCGAUGGAUACUGUGGAGCUAGAGUACGGAAGAGGCGAGUGGAAUUCCUGGUGUAGCGGUGGAAUGCGCAGAUAUCAGGAGGAACACCAAUAGCGAAGGCAGCUCGCUGGGACGUUUACUGACACUGAGGCGCGAAAGCGUGGGGGAGCGAACAGG
rnacentral:rRNA from 1 species